UACGUAGGGGGCAAGCGUUGUCCGGAAUUAUUGGGCGUAAAGAGCGCGUAGGCGGUCCGGUAAGUCGGCUGUGAAAGUCAAGGGCUCAACCCUUGAAAGCCGGCCGAUACUGUCGGACUAGAGUCCGGAAGAGGCGAGUGGAAUUCCCGGUGUAGCGGUGAAAUGCGCAGAUAUCAGGAGGAACACCAAUGGCGAAGGCAGCUCGCUGGGACGGUACUGACACUGAGACGCGAAAGCGUGGGGAGCAAACAGG
rnacentral:rRNA from 1 species